rnacentral:RNase_P_RNA from 2 species
UAUUCAAGUUAAUCGCUGGUUGGUAUAUUAAAACCAAUUAGAGGAAAGUCCAUGCUCACACUAUGCUGAGAUGCUAGUAGUGAUUGCACCAGGAAAUAAACAAUAAACCUGGGCGCGAAGCAAUUCGUGACGACCAUACAAUUUGACCUACAGCAGUUUUGCCAUGGUUUAAUUUUAACCAAAGUGCCACAGAGACGAGUCGUAUAGAAAUAUACGGGUGAAACGCGGUAAACUCUGCAAGUGAGAAACCUAAAUUUUGGUAAGGGAAUUAUCUAGCGAGAAUUAACAAUCAAUAGAUAAAAUCAGAAAUUAUUUCGAAUGAAACAGUAGAUUUAAUUUCGGUUAGAUUAAUGAUUAACAAGUUACUUCAAUUCAUUAUGUAACUACAGAACAUGGCUUAUUGA